rnacentral:rRNA from 1 species
CCUACGGGACGCAGCAGUGGGGAAUAUUGCACAAUGGGCGCAAGCCUGAUGCAGCCAUGCCGCGUGUAUGAAGAAGGCCUUAGGGUUGUAAAGUACUUUCAGUUGGGAGGAAGGCGUUGAUGCUAAUAUCAUCAACGAUUGACGUUACCAACAGAAGAAGCACCGGCUAACUCCGUGCCAGCAGCCGCGGUAAUACGGAGGGUGCAAGCGCUAAUCGGAAUUACUGGGCGUAAAGCGCACGCAGGCGGUCUGUUAAGUUAGAUGUGAAAUCCCCGGGCUCAACCUGGGAAUUGCAUCUAAGACUGGUAAGCUAGAGUCUUGUAGAGGGGGGUAGAAUUCCAGGUGUAGCGGUGAAAUGCGUAGAGAUGUGGAGGAAUACCGGUGGCGAAGGCGGCCCCCUGGACAAAGACUGACGCUCAGGUGCGAAAGCGUGGGGAGCAAACAGGAUUAGAUACCCUUGUAGUC